AUACGAGUGACCGGAGGAGGCGUGGGAGGUGCCGCUUGCCGUCCGCCACGCCCUGCCACGCCCUGGGAGUUGAGAACCUGGAGAAGGCGUGUAGCGGGCAUAGAGAGGUUGUCACUCGAAUCGUUCUUCAAAGGGUUCUCCCAUCAACGAUGGAAUCCAUUCUUGGUGCUCCGCUGUAUUCCAUCGAGUAAUUCGGUAGCCUUGUACAUGAGGAUCCACAACAGCACUGCGUAUUUCAGCAUAACAAUUCGUCCCUCCCUCCGGCCGUUAUUACCUGGAGCAGCUUUUACCUGUGUACUGAUUGGCCUCCUCUUUCUCUGUACAGGUAGUCACUUGUUGGGAGACCGUGGAUAUCCCAGCAAGCCAUGGCUCCUGACAGCAUAUCUGCGACCUCUGCCUGGACCUCAGUCACGCUAUAAUAGAAAAAGGUUCCUGGGUGGUGGGAGGCAUGUCUUGGCAAUAACACACAGGGAGAAGCAUGACCUAUGAAGCUAGGCUGUUCAAGAAUAAUGGAGGUUAUCUCAAAAUAUAAAUAGCAUCAAAUGAUUAAAAAAAUCUUUGGAAAACAUGAUUGCUUCUUCAUCAAUACCUUUAAGUCCUGUUAGGACACACACACACACACACACACACACACACCCAAGCAUGGCUCAAAUCCUAUAUGCUAAUAAUAAUAAGGGAAACAGGUUCACCCCCUCCCCACACACAUACAAAUUUGGAAAGGUAAAAGUUUUCAGUAGUAUUGGGUGCCUCCAUAUUUAUAUGAAAGUCCUUCAUGAUCUCUGUGAACGUAUUUCAUUAAAGAUGGGCUGCAUAUAGGUAGUAGAUCUCUAACUAAUGGGCAUAGCUGUAACAAAAAUGUACAAAAUAUAUGUCUCACCUUAUAUGUGCUUUACAUCAACCUUGCAUGCAUGUUUCUUGUUAGGGGUUGAAGGUGGAAUGUUAAGGAGCAAAAUUACAUACCACUGCAGACCCUUGACUAUCUUGAUAGUACAAAAUACAACUAGGCUAUUUACAGUGGCCAGCAACUGAGUACUCUGACUGCAGUGGGUUCGGCACUUACAUCAUUAUCACGCUUUCUCUUUCUCACACACAAAGGUGCGUACACACACACACACA